rnacentral:rRNA from 1 species
GUCUAUUGCCAUGCUACUCUGAACAAGCAUGAUCCUGUCUGAUCUUGGAAACUAAGCAGGGCCUGCUUAGUACUUGGAUGGGAGAUCACCUAGGAAGACCAGGUGCCAUAGGCA